rnacentral:siRNA from 1 species
UAAGAUGGUACGGUAACAUAC